CCCGUCGAUUGGCAAAACAGGCAGGCAGAAAUUUUUUUGUGUGGCCUCCCCGGGAACAGCCGGUUGUGUUUCCUCCCGUUAGUUUUUUCUUGCAGGUGAAGAGGAAGGCGGCAACUGCAGGAAAGUGCUAGUUAGCUGCCGUGCUGCUUUUGUCGAGGAUGGAAUCGGACCUCCGUCCCUCUGAAAGCUAAGUCGAGCGAACGGGGCCGAGAGGAGGGGCCGAGGUUGGGAAUUGCAGGGAAGUGUUUGAAAGUUAGCACGGGGAGAAGGCUG